rnacentral:lncRNA from 1 species
CUCAUUGUAUUCUCCUUGUCUUUGGAGGAUUGCUCGCAUACCUCGGUUGAUUCCGUUGGGGGUUGAUCUAUGGGUUUCUUCUAGCGACUUCUUGCCAGUGUUGGACGAGUGGUUGAGGUGGGUUAAUGUUUAUUGAAAUCGUCGGAAUUCCUCCUAAGUCGUAGAGUUGUCAGCAUGCAUCUUCUUGUUUUGAUCAUCAUGUUUAGUAGCUCAAAUUCGUGGAUUUGCAUGUUUUAUAUGAAAUAUGAAUUUGGAGCAUAAUUUAAUGAUUUUAAAUAAAGUUUUAUAUACUGAACUGCGAUUUGAUUUAGGAGACAACUCGUUAAACCUACACCUGACACUUUUCGAAAAGUUAACAGAAUUAGCUUUAGGCGCUGUUUUUCUUUUGUAUCACCACUGUUAGUG